CUUUAGUCGAUGCUCCAAACUAGACUUUUGCGCGCAGCAAAUACCGUUAAAACUUUACCCUUCAAAUAAAGGGAAGUUUCCAGCUAUGUCGCAUGUUUUAAUUUUUCUCCAUCGAAAUGUUUCUGAACCCUAGGGUUUCCCCAAAUUAUCUCUAGUUUCUUUCCAAUUUUGAAAUCGUAUAGAAGAGAUUUUUGGCAAGAACAAACGCCAGUUUAAGCCGGUUAGCUGAUUGUGUCCUUCUGCGAGGCGUGUUCGAUUCUUUCAAACGAUCUCCGCUUCUCAUCGAUCUGUUGCUCUUAAUCUCUUGACUCUCCCGGUUAUGGAUCCUUCAAGAGGAUGUUUUUGGGCUGGUUGAGAAAUAAAUAUAUGAUUCCAUCUCUCGGGCAGAUAUGACAUCAAGCUCACUUCAUGGUGCUAUUAUGGAAAAUAUUGUUUUUGCUCUUAGAAAAAUUCCGUAUGAGCUCAUGAAAAUGUUGGAAUAAUAUGUCCAUCUUUUGUAUUCUUUGGGGUAACUUUUAGUAUGAGCUGCUGUACAUAUUGAGUUAAAUCUACUUGAACCAUAUGAGAAGACACCCUCCCCUCCUCUGCAGCCUGUCGAUCCUUACUGAAGAUAUGGGUUGAAAGCAGAAACAACACAAAUCUUUAGGGCUCCUGAAAAACUUUCAGAGAAGGAGCUUUCUCUGGCUUUCUUGGUUCUUACCAUCAUGUCAUUACGUGGAUACUUGAUUGGGCAAUUUUCUUGGGGGAGGGAGUUAUUGGGUGACCCGUGGUUUGAAACAAGGAUUUAUUAGGCUGGAAAAAAGAAGUCUUAACAGCAAGGUUUUGAGGCUAUUAAGCUCUUUGGUGUUUGGCCCGAGUAGGAAAAAGCUUUUGGGUUCAGUAGCAUUCUUGGAGCUUGUUAAGUGAUCUUGACAGUAGGAGUUUGGCAUUUUUAAUUUGUAGUCUUGCUGUUAAGGACCGGUUUGCACAUUGAAAAAAUAAUUUAAACUGUUUGUAGCGAUUGAGGCAGAAAGGAUGAAGAAAAUAGAAGAAGAAGUAGAAU